GUGCCAGCCGCCGCGGUAAUACGUAGGGUGCGAGCGUUAAUCGGAAUUACUGGGCGUAAAGCGUGCGCAGGCGGCCUCUUAAGCCAGAUGUGAAAUCCCCGGGCUUAACCUGGGAACUGCGUUUGGAACUGGGAGGCUAGAGUGUGGCAGAGGGGGGUGGAAUUCCCGGUGUAGCAGUGAAAUGCGUAGAUAUCGGGAGGAACACCAAUGGCGAAGGCAGCCCCCUGGGUUAACACUGACGCUCAUGCACGAAAGCGUGGGGAGCAAACAGGAUUAGAAACCCUCGUAGUCC
rnacentral:rRNA from 1 species